rnacentral:rRNA from 1 species
GAAUCUUAGACAAUGGGGGAAACCCUGAUCUAGCCAUGCCGCGUGAGCGAUGAAGGCCUUAGGGUUGUAAAGCUCUUUCGCCUGGGAAGAUAAUGACGGUACCAGGUAAAGAAGCCCCGGCUAACUCCGUGCCAGCAGCCGCGGUAAUACGGAGGGGGCUAGCGUUGUUCGGAAUUACUGGGCGUAAAGCGCACGUAGGCGGAUCGGAAAGUUGGGGGUGAAAUCCCGGGGCUCAACCCCGGAACUGCCUCCAAAACUAUCGGUCUUGAGUUCGAGAGAGGUGAGUGGAAUUCCGAGUGUAGAGGUGAAAUUCGUAGAUAUUCGGAGGAACACCAGUGGCGAAGGCGGCUCACUGGCUCGAUACUGACGCUGAGGUGCGAAAGUGUGGGGAGCAAACAGG